UACGUAGGGUGCGAGCGUUGUCCGGAAUUAUUGGGCGUAAAGAGCUUGUAGGCGGUUUGUCGCGUCUGCUGUGAAAAUCCGGGGCUCAACCCCGGACUUGCAGUGGGUACGGGCAGACUAGAGUGUGGUAGGGGAGACUGGAAUUCCUGGUGUAGCGGUGAAAUGCGCAGAUAUCAGGAAGAACACCGAUGGCGAAGGCAGGUCUCUGGGCCACUACUGACGCUGAGAAGCGAAAGCGUGGGGAGCGAACAGG
rnacentral:rRNA from 1 species